rnacentral:rRNA from 1 species
CCUACGGGUGGCAGCAGUGGGGGAUAUUGCACAAUGGGGGGAACCCUGAUGCAGCGACGCCGCGUGGGUGAAGGAGCGUUUCGGCGCGUACAGCCCUAUCGGCAGGGAAGAAGAUGACGGUACCUGACCAAGAAGCCCCGGCUAACUACGUGCCAGCAGCCGCGGUAAUACGGCGGGGGCCAGCGUUAUCCGGGUUUACUGGGUGUAAAGGGGGCGCAGACGGCAAGGCAAGCCAGGUGGGAAAGCCCGGGGCCUAACCCCGGGACUGCGCUUGGAACUGCAUGGAUGGAGUAGAGGAGGGGCAGGCGGAAUUCGUGGUGGAGGGGUGAAAUGCGUAGAUAUUAGGAGGAACACAGGUGGCGAAGGCGGCCUGCUGGACUGUGACUGACGUUGAGGCCCGAAGGUGUGGGGAGAAAACAGGAUUAGAUACCCGGGUAGUC